UACGAAGGGGGCUAGCGUUGUUCGGAAUCACUGGGCGUAAAGCGCACGCAGGCGGAUCGAUAAGUCGGGGGUGAAAGCCCGGGGCUCAACCGUGGAAUUGCCUUCGAUACUGUCGGUCUCGAGUCCGGGAGAGGUGAGUGGAAUUCCUAGUGUAGAGGUGAAAUUCGUAGAUAUUAGGAAGAACACCAGUGGCGAAGGCGGCUCACUGGCCCGGUACUGACGCUCAGGUGCGAAAGCGUGGGUAGCAAACAGG
rnacentral:rRNA from 1 species